UACAGAGGGUGCAAGCGUUGUUCGGAAUUAUUGGGCGUAAAGGGCGCGUAGGCGGUGCGGUAAGUCUCUUGUGAAAUCCCCAGGCUUAACCUGGGAACUGCAUCCGAUACUGGAUGGCUUGAAUCCGGGAGAGGGAUGCGGAAUUCCAGGUGUAGCGGUGAAAUGCGUAGAUAUCUGGAGGAACACCGGUGGCGAAGGCGGCAUCCUGACCGGCAUUGACGCUGAGGAGCGAAAGCCAGGGGAGCAAACGGG
rnacentral:rRNA from 1 species